UACGAACGCUGGCGGCGUGCCUAAUACAUGCAAGUCGAACGCUUUUUCUUUCACCGGAGCUUGCUCCACCGAAAGAAAAGGAGUGGCGAACGGGUGAGUAACACGUGGGUAACCUGCCCAUCAGAAGGGGAUAACACUUGGAAACAGGUGCUAAUACCGUAUAACACUAUUUUCCGCAUGGAAGAAAGUUGAAAGGCGCUUUUGCGUCACUGAUGGAUGGACCCGCGGGGCAUUAGCUAGUUGGUGAGGUAACGGCUCACCAAGGCAACGAUGCAUAGCCGACCGGAGAGGGUGAUCGGCCACACUGGGACUGAGACACGGCCCAGACUCCUACGGGAGGUAGCAGUAGGGAAUCUUCGGCAAUGGACGAAAGUCUGACCGAGCAACGCCGCGUGAGUGAAGAAGGUUUUCGGAUCGUAAAACUCUGUUGUUAGAGAAGAACAAGGAUGAGAGUAAAACGUUCAUCCCUUGACGGUAUCUAACCAGAAAGCCACGGCUAACUACGUGCCAGCCGCCGCGGUAA
rnacentral:rRNA from 1 species